rnacentral:rRNA from 1 species
AAUGAUCCGGGUCCUCCUUGCAGGUAGACUACCUACUUCUGGAGCAACAAACUCCCAUGGUGUGACGGGCGGUGUGUACAAGGCCCGGGAACGUAUUCACCGCGGCAUUCUGAUCCGCGAUUACUAACGAUUCCCACUUCACGCAGUCGAGUUGCAAACUGCGAUCCGGACUACGAUCGGCUUUUUGAGAUUAGCAUCACAUCGCUGUGUAGCAACCCUUUGUACCGACCAUUGUAGCACGUGUGUAGCCCUGGCCGUAAGGGCCAUGAUGACUUGACGUCGUCCCCGCCUUCCUCCAGUUUGUCACUGGCAGUAUCCUUAAAGUUCCCAUCCGAAAUGCUGGCAAGUAAGGAAAAGGGUUGCGCUCGUUGCGGGACUUAACCCAACAUCUCACGACACGAGCUGACGACAGCCAUGCAGCACCUGUAUGUAGAUUCCCGAAGGCACCAAUCCAUCUCUGGAAAGUUUCUACUAUGUCAAGGCCAGGUAAGGUUCUUCGCGUUGCAUCAAAUUAAACCACAUGCUCCACCGCUUGUGCGGGCCCCCGUCAAUUCAUUUGAGUUUUAGUC